UUUCUAUGAUGAGAACUACUCAGCUCACUUUGAACCGAUGUGAAAAUUAUACGAAUUCCUGAGAAAC